CCUACGGGUGGCAGCAGUGGGGAAUAUUGCGCAAUGGGCGAAAGCCUGACGCAGCGCCGCCGCGUGAGGGAUGAAGGUCUUCGGAUCGUAAACCUCUGUCAGCAGGGAAGUACGGUAACUGUGCUAAUGAGCAGUGAAUUGACGGUACCUGCAAAGGAAGCACCGGCUAAAUACGUGACAGCAGCGGAGGUAAUACGGCGGGUGCGAGCGUUAAACGGAUGUACUUGGCGUAAAGCGCUCGUAGGCGGUAUGUCAAGUAAAGGGUGAAAUCACCGCGCUCAACGUGUGAACUGCCUUUGAAACUGGCACACUGGAGUUUGUGAGAGGCUAGUGGAAUUCCAGGUGUAGGAGUGAAAUCCGUAGAUAUCUGGAGGAACAUCAGUGGCGAAGGCGACUAUCUGGCACAUAACUGACGCUGAGGAGCGAAAGCGUGGGUAGCAAACAGGAUUAGAUACCCCGGUAGUC
rnacentral:rRNA from 1 species